rnacentral:rRNA from 1 species
CGCAGAUGGUUGUCGUCAGCUCGUGUCGUGAGAUGUAAGGUUAAGUCCUUGAACGAGCGCAACCCCUUUCGCCAGUUGCAAACCAGCAAUGGCGCACCCUGACGAUACUGCCAGCUAAAAGUUGGAGGAAGGAGGGGAUGACGUCAAAUCCUCAUGGCCUUUAUGUCCAGGGCUACACACAUGCGACAAUGGUCGGUACAACGGGUUGCAACACCGCGAGGUGAAGCCAAUCCCUAAAAACCGGCCUCAGUUCAGAUUGCAGACUGCAAUUCGUCUACAUGAAGAUGGAGUUGCUAGUAACCGCGGGUCAGCUACACCGCGGUGAAUACGUUCCCGGGCCUUGUACACACCG